UACGGAAGGCAGCAGUGGGGAAUAUUGCACAAUGGGCGAAAGCCUGAUGCAGCCAUGCCGCGUGUAUGAAGAAGGCCUUCGGGUUGUAAAGUACUUUCAGCGGGGAGGAAGGCGGUGGAGUUAAUAGCUUCACCGAUUGACGUUACCCGCAGAAGAAGCACCGGCUAACUCCGUGCCAGCAGCCGCGGUAAUACGGAGGGUGCAAGCGUUAAUCGGAAUUACUGGGCGUAAAGCGCACGCAGGCGGUCUGUCAAGUCGGAUGUGAAAUCCCCGGGCUUAACCUGGGAACUGCAUUCGAAACUGGCAGGCUAGAGUCUUGUAGAGGGGGUAGAAUUCCAGGUGUAGCGGUGAAAUGCGUAGAGAUCUGGAGGAAUACCGGUGGCGAAGGCGGCCCCUGGGACAAGACUGACGCUCAGGUGCGAAAGCGUGGGGAGCAAACAGGAUUAGAUACC
rnacentral:rRNA from 1 species